GGGUAGCAAGUUGGGGAUUGGAGGUGGAGGCAUAGCAGGAAUAGUAAUAUCCAUCCUUAUUGUCGGGGCUAUUGUAGCAUUUUUUCUGGUGAAGAGAAGAUCCAGGAGGCCAUCCUCGGAUAUUGAAAAGCAUGAUAAUCAAUCGUUUGCUCCUCUUCCUUCUAAUGAAGUACAAGAAAUGAAAUCCAUAGUCUUCCUCUUCAGUUAACACCAAGACCUUUGAUACAUCUCCUUC